CGGGCUUGGGUUAUUCUUUUUUUACAAAAAAGACUUUUGUUGUUCAAUCCAACAGAGCUUGA
rnacentral:tRNA from 1 species